GUGUGAUACAAGGCAUUAUAAUUACAGAGAGCCUCCAACUAGAGGGCAAUGACACAUAAAAAUGACAACAAAGAGGUAUAAAAGACCAAAUGAAUCCCUUUUUUGGGGGUGAGGUUUAGCUAUCAAAUUCUACCAUUUUAAUUCGCAUUGUGAAUAAUCAACCUAAGUCGAAUUCUCAAUAUAAAACCAAAAUUAUGGAGUGCUAAUAAAUUGACUCAAACCUAAAUCAUUCAAUAAAAUACAAGCAUAUCCUUCUGCACCUAGUCUGCUAGUGGGAUGACGAUACUCCAGCCAUGCCAUGGUUUGAAAUAUCAGAAUAUGGGUCUCCAGGCUAAAUCCAUGCUCUAAUCUCCAUUCAUUAUUUUUUCCCUCAAGGGGCAAUAGCUUUUGACUAUUGUUUUUCUAAAUAAGGUUUAGAAAUGUCCAAAAUAGUUACAAAAGGCAAAAAUCCAUUUAGCAAUUUGCUACAAACUUCAUUUAGUAAACUAAUCAAAUCAUUGCAGUGUCAAAUAACUCCAUAGGCCAAGCUACACACAUUUACCAAGUAACAAAUGCAUCAGUGCCCAGGAGAGAAUAUUCUGGUGGCGAAGUAGUAUGACAGCAUUAUCAAGGAGCCGAUUGGCAAUAUCUACAUCAUUAAACAGAUCGCAUUGUAGGAAGUCAAGUUCUUCAUCUGAUUGAAGGAUGUUGGGGAAGGUAAGACAAAUAUAGAGAUAGUUGCUAUUUAAGGGAUAAAAUGAGCACUUUCUCUUGUAAGGCUAAUGGUGAAGGUAGUUAUCAUUCAUCUUGCAAGAAACAUACACAAGCACACAUAAGGUACUCGGAGCAAGAUUUUAUCGCAAAAAUAAAACACGAGAUAGAGAAGGUACUAAUAAAUUGGUAACCAAAGGCAACACCCCUUCUACCAAACAACUCGUCUAGACCAGUGAAAAAAGAAAAUGGGGGCAAAGUACAGUUAGGCAGACCCAGUUUGUCCUCUCUUCAAUCGAACCAAAAGUAAAAGAGAAAAAGAUGUUGGAACUCUCAAUCAAAAGGACCCUAAAUGGUCAUAUAUGCAUUCAUUAGGAGCUAAAAAUAGAGAGAACCAAGGGGGGAAAAAGUUAAAUGCAAGCGAUGCUCAAACAGCAAGGCCAAAGAUUGCAAAAUCACUUUCACAUGAAAAAAACCAUUUUCCUCGAGCUGAAAACCACAGUUGAGAAAAGGAAAAAGAGAAAUAUGCCAAAAGGAAGAAACUAACACUCAGAAGAACAAACACAUUCAGUCAGUAUAAAAUCAAAAUAAAAGGCUACUGUGUCAGACGUUUUGAUUAUUUUACGUAAUUUGAAAGGAAAAACUAACAUCUUAAAAGAAA
rnacentral:lncRNA from 1 species